GCUCCAGGUGUCAAGCCAUUUUUUUUUCUUUACAAAUUUCAAAUCAUACCAGAUGUUUGUCUUAAUUUGCUCGGGCGAGACAUAAUGCAUAAGUUAAAAAUGGAAUUUCAUGAUUCUCAUGUUGUUUUCUCUUUUAUGUCAUGUUUACAGACAUACAGUGAUCCUCUGCCUAUGGGGGGAGGAAGUAAGAAGGCCGACCAAGACCCAGUACCCGCCCGCAUACCACAUGAUGUAGACACCUUGACUAACCCAUGCCUAUGAACUCAAUCAAACAAUAUCCUUUGUCAAAAGAAAAGGAAGAUGGCAUUAAACCUAUUAUUUACCAUUUUGUUUAACAGGGUGUCCUCGUACCUACUCGCCAUACAACACACCGAUUAACCCGGUGGUGAAUGCUGAUGGAAAGACAUAAUGUCUUACACAAGAUUUAAGAGCACUCAAUAAACUGAUAAUUCCUCUGUCUCUGAUUGUUCCAGAUGUGCCGACUGUUAUAAAUUUUAUACCAUGCACACAUAAGUAUUUCUGUCAUUGAUUUGUGUGCUGCUUUUGUUUCUCUGUUCCAGUGCAUCCAGACACACAGCCACUGCUAGCCUUAUAGGAUAGGGGGUGCAAAAACUAAGAAGGGUAUGUUGACUCACCAUCCGUCCUCUCCGCUGCAGUGGGAAAAAGACAUUGAAAAAAAAAAGAUCAACUUCCUGUUUUCGGGUUUGCUGUCUGCUGUAUGCCGAUGACAUCAUGGUCUCUGCUCUGACUGAAAAGAACUGUGAGAAAGCCUCCAUUAUCGUCUGCAAUAUUUUGGUGGACGCUGGUUUCAAAGCAUCAAAAGAACAGCUCCAGUGGAUCAAGCAAAAGUUCUCGUACCUGGGUCACGUCAUAAUGCCAGGUCUUCGAAAAAACCUCCACAGAUCAGAUUGAACUGAUCCGGAAGAUGAAAUUCCCACGAACUGUGUAACAGCUCCAAAGUUUUCUGGGGUUAAUAAACUGUUGUCGCUCAUGGAAACCUGAGUGUGCUGCCCAUGAUGGACAUUUGCGGAGCCUGAGUGAUCACAAGGCAUCGCCUGCAUCACUGAUAUGCUGGACUGAUGAAGCAGAGACUCAUUUCAUGGCACUGAAACACGCCAUUAUUUCGGCCCCAGCUCUGGGCCAUCCGAACUAUGCAAAAACUUUUCACCUGCAUGCGUGAGAGGCGAAGGGUGUGGCUCUGGGUAUCCUUUGGCAACAACAAGGUUGCACUUAUAGGCCAGUGGCAUAUCUGUUUAGAAAACUAGAUAAUGUAGUUCCAGGUAUGCCUGAAAUGUCUUUAUGCAGUGGCUGCUGAUGUUCUGUUUGUACAGGUGGCUGAGAGAACGGUGCUGUCACAGUCAAUGACUCUACACAUCACAUCAAGUAGGUGCAUUUUUACACAACACAGGAUGGCACAGAGGCGAUCUGGGUAUGAGGCUAUGCUGUUGGCAACCAAAAAUGUAACAAUCCAGCCCACUUUUAACAUUAAUUCCACUUUUGCUGGGAGUUUUGGGACUGGUAGACAUGACUGAGCACGAUCUAAAACAUGAUUGUAUUGUUGAAUUGACCACUUCCUGUUCCUCUAGGGCCGAUUUAAUGGAAUCGCCCCUAGAUGGGGGGGUCAGAUCUAUGUGGAUGGCUCAUAUACAAAGCCAUCGGACGGUGUCUACCUGUGUGGUUAUGCUGUGGUGUCGGAUACUGGUGAGGUUAUUAAAGCCUUUGCUCUAAAUUACAACUCAGCACAAGCUGCAGAAUUGGUAACUCUAUUACGAGCUUGUGAGCUAAUGAAAGGAAAAAAGACACAAUCUACACGACUCAAAAUAUGUGUAUUCUAAAUUUUGUAAAAACAUGGGAAGCCUGAGAUUUUAAGACAGCAGAUGGUAAGCCUAUAGUUUAUUCAAAUUUGAUAGGACGGUUGACAAAAGCAGUACAGCUACCGUCUGAAGUGGCAAUAGGGAAAGUAAAAGGCCAUGAAUCAGGAAAUGAUGACCAGGCUGUGGGAAACAAGAAGAGCAGAUGAGGCUGCAAAAGAAGCAGCUCAAGCUCAAAUGAAAUCACUAUUUGAGUAUGAUGUCAAAACAGACCUUGCUAUGGUUUUGCAAGUGACUAACAUGAAAUUGAUAUAAAAUUUUUGCAGAGUCAACCGACGUAGGCUGACCUCGAAUAUUGGAGCAAGUACGGAUAUGCACCAGAUGAAAAGGGAGUCAUGAGAGACGAGAAAGGAAGAGUAGCGUUUUCAAAACUGGGACUGGUAAUUUUAAUAAGAUAUUACCAUGGUCUAUCACAUACCAGUAGUACAAAGGUGACACAAGCAAUUAAUCCAUUUUAUUAUAUUGCAGAUGUAAAGAAAACCAACAACUCAUGUUUAACCUGUGCAAAAUUUAACCCGCAUCGAAAACCAAAACAUGUAGCGUUGCCACACUUGAGGCACCUUUUUAACAUGAUCAGAUUGAUUUCACGCAUGCACCGAUUGGAGAUCUGAAAUAUCUUUUUCAUCCCAUAGAGGAUGCGCAAAAAUUUUGACAAAAGGAAAUUAUUCCUCGUUUGGCAUACCAAAACAAUUGAAUCCGACAACGGGACAUUUUUGUGUCCAAAGUAACGUAGCUCUAAGCUAAAGCGCUGUCUAUUGAUUGGCAUUUUAAUAUUAAACGCGAAAAUUAAACAGAGGAUAACCAAAGCUGCGUUAGAAACAGAAAAAAGGGUAGAUUUGCUACCUGCUUUAUUAUACAAAAUAAGAAUGACUCCAUCUUCAACCAAACAAUUGUCUUCAUUUGAAAUACUAAUGGGUAGGCCAUUUCCCACCCCGUGGGUCAAAGGCCGCGCAGGCGUUUCUUCCCCAGGUGACCUGGAGGUGAUACAAGAAGACUACGUGGUGUCCAUAAUUGAGAAAUUGAACUCUAUCUGUACUAAUUUUCUUUGUCUCUCCCCUCAGAAAAGCCAACUUACAUUUUUCUCCAGGACAGGUUGUUCUAAAUAGGAGCCUGAAGCCCACGAUGAAAUGAGAGCCAAAAUACCUCGGCCCAGAUAAGGUGAUGGCUGUGACAAAGAUGGGAGUUCUGAUUGACAACCAGCUACAGUGGAUUCACGCCUCAGGGUUGAAGCAACACUCUGCCACGGAGCAGGACACCGGAGACAAACCCAGACAACGACUGCUAGUCAUGGAGAUCAACGGAGAACAACGAGUGAGAGAUCUUGAUGGAAGUUCCACUGCCGAGAGGAUUCGAACCGUGUAUAGUGACCAAAGCUUUCAUCAUCUUCAGCGAGCACAUUGUGGAAGCAGAGCAAAGAGUAAUGGAAGACAACGAACGCAUCACACAACCGACCCUGCAAAAGGGAUUCGUAGAUCAUAUGCUGUGGUAUAUGUGUUUAUUUUGAAUGAUGGUGAUCUGAAAGUUUAUAGGAAAAAUAAAAUAAUAAAGUUCUUGGUUUCUUGAAGAAAAAAAGGGUUAUUUAGUAAAUGGCAAUUUAAUAAACUAUUUGUAACUAUUUGAUUUCUGAAAUUAGGGAAUGUAUUUUCUUAAAGUAUAUGAAACCAGUGCUUUCCAGAUGUGUACCCAUAACCCUGUUAUAUGCCGUGAGAAAUUGAGGAUAACAUUAACUGUGUAGAACAAACAAUGCAUGCCAUAAAUAAUGUAUCUGGAGUAAAUGGAUUUGUGAUACCUCGACCGAUUGCAAUUUCUGGGUGUGGGAAGAAUUGUGAUCCACUAUCGUGUAUCAAAGGGGCCAUUGUGAGAAUCUGAAGAUGCCCCUUCCCACCCCCACUAUUUACUUUAUAAUCUAAACCCAGCAUAUUCAUGUAUAUCCUGCUUUCUAUGAAAUUUAUGCUUGUAUGCAUAUGAAGCAUCCUUCUUUUGAGUGGUGUCCUUUCCUAUGGUAUGGUUCCCAUAACAACUUUAUCCUGUGCCUUAGGUUUCAAAUGUAUACAUUGUAUAUCGUAAUGCAACAUGUUUAAAGUAUAUGUCUACUUAUGCUGUGUUCACAUGAUUGUUUAACAUAUGCUGUCUAGCUCUGAGCUGGUUCAUUCAAAUUUCCUCUUGAUGAUUGAUGAUCUUGCACUUGCUAUGUUGGGAGGUAUUACACCAUAUCCUCUAGCUUUGCUGCAGGUUGAUUGUGGUUGGGUCAAGUAGGGUAGGCUAAGGACAUGUUCCAGACCCAACUUCUCUGUUUUAAGCACCACUUCCUUGCACGUAGGUAGAACAUAAAACUGUCUAGGUUGUUUGCUAAAAGUACAUGCUUGCAGGGUUAAUUUAUCACGUGAUUGUUUGUCUCGACGGAUUUGCUCAAUGUGUUGAUCACAAGAUUAUGACUAAUGGUCCCAAGGUGACUAGCAUUUCCUUUCUGUAUCCUAUAUAAGCUGUAGGAUGUCUAAUAAACUUUGGUCUAUGUUUGAACUGCAUCUCGGUGUCAGUGUCUUUCAUGGUCCCCUGAUAUAUAUCAGACUUCGCUGCUGCUCAUCUCAGACCUCAUCGAGCUACCUCAGCGCAGAAAACUAAAGAAACUUUCAUACCUCUAGACCUGCUUAGAAUUAGAUUCUAACAGUUGGGUGCUCGUCCGGCGAAAGGGGGGAGAUCCUCCAACAGAUCCGGAGACCGAAAAUUCGAACACCGCAGAUCGGGAAGGACCUACAAAAGGGGUAAGUGUUUGCGAUAUUUCUAAUUUUGAAAUACAGCGCUUACCCCCUGUAGUGUCCGGUCUUGUGACUCGAGACAAGAUUUUUAAUUCACUCGGGGCCGAAAAGGCAUGUAGCAGGUGCUACAGAAUAUAACGAGUGAGGUGCUCGCUUCGAAGGACAGAGGGAUUUGGUCGAGAUUAAAUUCGAACACUAAGUUCCGUGAAUAGUUGGAGUUGAAUACUGCCAGCUACAUAGCUAGACUAUGGAUCGAAGCGAAGUCAAAUAUACAGCUGGAGCUCACUGUAUAUUUGGGAUCGCGGUGUUGGUAAAUUGUUAUUUAAUCGUAUAUUUUACGAGCGCGGCCCGUUUUGAAUAAGCUGAUUGGAAAUAAGCUAACAGUGAAAAAGCUAUUAUUUGCAUAUGCCCUUUGAAUGAAAUUGUGAACAAAUAGAAUUUGGACUAAUUCGCUGAAAUUGAAUUUGCCAUUUUGAAAUAAUAAAUAGCUAAAUCGAUGACUGAAUUUUACAAUACGAAUUGACAAAUGAAUGUCUAAAAUCUACGAACGGUACGAAAUUAUAACUGAGGCUGAGCGGAGGAGCACAGAAAAAACCCGGGUGUUUGUCUAUUGCUUAUUUGUGCUUAUUGCUGUUUGCUUGUUAUUGCUGCUAUUAUUUGUUUACAUUGUGUUGAAGAUGGGUGAUUCUGCUACGGCCAGGCAAAAGCCUGAUGAAUUUAUGUAUACAAAUAAUAGAGGUUUUUAUGUUGAACUGUACGUCACUUAGCGGUUAGUAAUAUAAUAACUUUGCAUUGAAAAACCCCAACGCAAGAUGCGCUGCCAUAUUUUAUGUAGAAUAGUAGGCUAACAGCCUAAGUUUAUCGUCGCCACAAAUUGCUGUAAAAUACGUGAAUGUUUUGCAAUCUCACAAGAGGUAUGCACACGUCACAGGGGCAGAUUUGUGCUAUUUUGUUGAAAACAUUGGAGAGCGAUCUAACAAAAAACAUAACUGAUACGUGCCGCUGUCUGAUUCGGGAAAACCAUGUGACUGGAGGUGAGGGGACUGCAGCCUCUCGCAAUCCACUCACACGGGAAGAUCAUGAAUAUCAUGAUAUGCUUUUUUGAUCAGCUGCGCGUUCUUCUAAAUAAACGGUUUGGCAUUUACCAGUAUUUAUCAUUUGCAUUAAACGGAAAGAUAAAACCAAAUGAAACUGCCUCUGAAUUUUGCACACGUUUUAAAGCAUUAUGAGUCUAUUCUAGAUUACCGAUUGACAAAGUCUGAGUGCGCUGUUACAAAUAUGCUGUUGAAUAAUAUGAAUCGUAGGUAAGUGAAAUCUGUUGGAUAUGAAUGUGAAUAGACUGAUUUGUGAGUCUGAUGCAUCUGGUGAACAUGCUAUGUUUUCAGUGCAAGUCUCAUCGAAUGGGAAAAAGCUUGCUUAAGCACCGGAAAGGAAACUAAGAUUUGAUAUAAUGUGUUAUUAUGUGGACAAAGGGGCCACAUGAAAUGUGACUGUCGUUCAAAGGGGGGUGAAAUUUUAUUCCAAGGGUGCACCACGUAGACAGUCAAUGCAACAGCCAAAGCAAGUGCAUCAGAAACUAUCUGACAGUAAUUACCAGACAACUGGCAUAACAAAACACAAUGAAAUGUUCUGACCCAUUACACCACCUCUGGAGACAUACAGUGAUCCUCUGCCUAUGGGGGGAGGAAGUAAGAAGGCCGACCAAGACCCAGUACCCGCCCGCAUACCACAUGAUGUAGACACCUUGACUAACCCAUGCCUAUGAACUCAAUCAAACAAUAUCCUUUGUCAAAAGAAAAGGAAGAUGGCAUUAAACCUAUUAUUUACCAUUUUGUUUAACAGGGUGUCCUCGUACCUACUCGCCAUACAACACACCGAUUAACCCGGUGGUGAAUGCUGAUGGAAAGACAUAAUGUCUUACACAAGAUUUAAGAGCACUCAAUAAACUGAUAAUUCCUCUGUCUCUGAUUGUUCCAGAUGUGCCGACUGUUAUAAAUUUUAUACCAUGCACACAUAAGUAUUUCUGUCAUUGAUUUGUGUGCUGCUUUUGUUUCUCUGUUCCAGUGCAUCCAGACACACAGCCACUGCUAGCCUUAUAGGAUAGGGGGUGCAAAAACUAAGAAGGGUAUGUUGACUCACCAUCCGUCCUCUCCGCUGCAGUGGGAAAAAGACAUUGAAAAAAAAAAGAUCAACUUCCUGUUUUCGGGUUUGCUGUCUGCUGUAUGCCGAUGACAUCAUGGUCUCUGCUCUGACUGAAAAGAACUGUGAGAAAGCCUCCAUUAUCGUCUGCAAUAUUUUGGUGGACGCUGGUUUCAAAGCAUCAAAAGAACAGCUCCAGUGGAUCAAGCAAAAGUUCUCGUACCUGGGUCACGUCAUAAUGCCAGGUCUUCGAAAAAACCUCCACAGAUCAGAUUGAACUGAUCCGGAAGAUGAAAUUCCCACGAACUGUGUAACAGCUCCAAAGUUUUCUGGGGUUAAUAAACUGUUGUCGCUCAUGGAAACCUGAGUGUGCUGCCCAUGAUGGACAUUUGCGGAGCCUGAGUGAUCACAAGGCAUCGCCUGCAUCACUGAUAUGCUGGACUGAUGAAGCAGAGACUCAUUUCAUGGCACUGAAACACGCCAUUAUUUCGGCCCCAGCUCUGGGCCAUCCGAACUAUGCAAAAACUUUUCACCUGCAUGCGUGAGAGGCGAAGGGUGUGGCUCUGGGUAUCCUUUGGCAACAACAAGGUUGCACUUAUAGGCCAGUGGCAUAUCUGUUUAGAAAACUAGAUAAUGUAGUUCCAGGUAUGCCUGAAAUGUCUUUAUGCAGUGGCUGCUGAUGUUCUGUUUGUACAGGUGGCUGAGAGAACGGUGCUGUCACAGUCAAUGACUCUACACAUCACAUCAAGUAGGUGCAUUUUUACACAACACAGGAUGGCACAGAGGCGAUCUGGGUAUGAGGCUAUGCUGUUGGCAACCAAAAAUGUAACAAUCCAGCCCACUUUUAACAUUAAUUCCACUUUUGCUGGGAGUUUUGGGACUGGUAGACAUGACUGAGCACGAUCUAAAACAUGAUUGUAUUGUUGAAUUGACCACUUCCUGUUCCUCUAGGGCCGAUUUAAUGGAAUCGCCCCUAGAUGGGGGGGUCAGAUCUAUGUGGAUGGCUCAUAUACAAAGCCAUCGGACGGUGUCUACCUGUGUGGUUAUGCUGUGGUGUCGGAUACUGGUGAGGUUAUUAAAGCCUUUGCUCUAAAUUACAACUCAGCACAAGCUGCAGAAUUGGUAACUCUAUUACGAGCUUGUGAGCUAAUGAAAGGAAAAAAGACACAAUCUACACGACUCAAAAUAUGUGUAUUCUAAAUUUUGUAAAAACAUGGGAAGCCUGAGAUUUUAAGACAGCAGAUGGUAAGCCUAUAGUUUAUUCAAAUUUGAUAGGACGGUUGACAAAAGCAGUACAGCUACCGUCUGAAGUGGCAAUAGGGAAAGUAAAAGGCCAUGAAUCAGGAAAUGAUGACCAGGCUGUGGGAAACAAGAAGAGCAGAUGAGGCUGCAAAAGAAGCAGCUCAAGCUCAAAUGAAAUCACUAUUUGAGUAUGAUGUCAAAACAGACCUUGCUAUGGUUUUGCAAGUGACUAACAUGAAAUUGAUAUAAAAUUUUUGCAGAGUCAACCGACGUAGGCUGACCUCGAAUAUUGGAGCAAGUACGGAUAUGCACCAGAUGAAAAGGGAGUCAUGAGAGACGAGAAAGGAAGAGUAGCGUUUUCAAAACUGGGACUGGUAA